CAACAAUGCGUAGAUUAAAAGCCUUAUUUUGUUGAAAUGAAACUAGGCAGCGGCCAGACAAUCGUAGAGAUGGUAUACACAGAUGAACAGUUUUUAACAUCUGUUUGUCUACUAAAUUCUAUCUCACAUCG
rfam:Helianthus annuus linkage group 5, whole genome shotgun sequence.